AUUGAACGCUGGCGGCAGGCUUAACACAUGCAAGUCGAGCGGGGGAAGGUAGCUUGCUACUGGACCUAGCGGCGGACGGGUGAGUAAUGCUUAGGAAUCUGCCUAUUAGUGGGGGACAACAUCUCGAAAGGGAUGCUAAUACCGCAUACGUCCUACGGGAGAAGGCAGGGGAUCUUCGGACCUUGCGCUAAUAGAUGAGCCUAAGUCGGAUUAGCUAGUUGGUGGGGUAAAGGCCUACCAGGGCGACGAUCUGUAGCGGGUCUGAGAGGAUGAUCCGCCACACUGGGACUGAGACACGGCCCAGACUCCUACGGGAGGCAGCAGUGGGGAAUAUUGGACAAUGGGGGGAACCCUGAUCCAGCCAUGCCGCGUGUGUGAAGAAGGCCUUAUGGUUGUAAAGCACUUUAAGCGAGGAGGAGGCCACUUUAGUUAAUACCUAGAGAUAGUGGACGUUACUCGCAGAAUAAGCACCGGCUAACUCUGUGCCAGCCGCCGCGGUAA
rnacentral:rRNA from 1 species